rnacentral:rRNA from 1 species
GACAGAGGUGCCGAGCGUUAGGCGGAAUCACUGGGCUUAAAGCGUGUGUAGGCGGAUCGUUAAGUACCUUGUGAAAUCCCCCGGCUCAACCGGGGAACUGCUGGGUAUACUGGCGAUCUUGAGCAAUCUAGGGGCAGAUGGAACAAGUGGUGGAGCGGUGAAAUGCGUAGAUAUCACUUGGAACGCCAAAGGUGAAAACAGUCUGCUGGGGACUUGCUGACGCUGAGACACGAAAGCCAGGGGAGCGAACGGG